ensembl:lncRNA
AAAAAAAAUUACUGUAUCAUAGACACCAGCAGACACAGAGGACCACACCACCCACAGUCAAGACUGACACGGCUUCAAAUAACAAUAAUAGUGUUCAUAAUCAUUUGACAAUGAGAACUUAUGAAGUUAUGAUGACUUCAGUGCAGUUGAUGUUUAUCCACAGUUAAUACAUGCAGAAUAGACCUGAGGGCUUUACUACGACAUCAUUGUCCGGCUCUGAACUAUGCGCUCUGUACGCGUUCACAUCAAAGGAGCUGAGAUCGCGGGCUGCUGAUUUCCUCACAGCCUGAGAGCUGAGGAAUCAAGUGAUCACAACACAUUUCUGACAGCUGCACAUUGCGCAGGGCUCUCCGUGAGACGCACGCAAUUCAACCCAUGCACACGCUCACACGCCACACAACUUGCGCCGCUAUUUGACAGUGGAAGGGUAGGAAUCAAAUGCGUCCGGGUGAAAUUUCAAAAUCGUCCGGGAUUUUAAUAAAGCCUCAAUACAUGUUCACAUAUAAUUUGCGUUGCGUUCCUCUGGGUCUGUCACAAACUAGUUGGGCUACGCCCUCCCAUACUCAGUUCUGUUCGCUUUGCAUUGGUGGAAGUGAGUAGGGGGAGUGGUUAAGUAAAGCCUUCAGAUUGGACGGUUUGACUUUAGAGUUACCGUCAUGUUUUGUAUUAUAUUUUUUUACCAUUAUUGUUUUAUAGGGACAAACAUUAACACAUUUCUCCUGCAGGGGAUUGAUAAAUUUCUAUCUAUGUAACAGAAGGGAACACUUACUCAUACUCCAUCAAAUAUUCAUACUCAUACUUUGCGCACUUUACCACAGCAUUGGCCUACUGAAUGCCACAGAUAUAUUUUUAAGCAUUGGACUGAAUGCCGCGUAAAUAUAAUAUAUGUUUUGCACGUUUGCAACGUUUAAAAGUUCAGGGAAAGUAUAUGCCUCUACUGGUGUUGCUUAGACCAAUAUCCUUUUGAGGCAGUGUUGUUUCUGAAUAUUAGUGUUAAGGGCCAAUAAGGCCUACUAUCAUACAUUAGUCACCAUGUCUGUGAACAAAUUUGUAUGCAGUUACAUAUUAAUAUAUCCCCCCCACAAAAUCUCACUCUGAACUCAGUUCAAAAAUGGAGAGCCCUGCAUUGCGCAUCUGUUGACCUUUAUCCAUUUACAUUAAACAGAUAAUUUUUUCUUGCUGGAAGAUAUUUUAUAUUGUUUUCAUAUUAUUAUUUACUCACAGUGAUUACAGAAUGCGAGUUUGUGUUAUAUUGAAAGCGAGGCUGGGUGUGCCUAUGAAUAUAGGCUACAGUGAGUUUUUUAAGGUGCUGUACAAGCAAAUCAUAUUGACUACA